UACACGACCGUACCGCAAACCGACACUGGUGCGCGAGAUGAGUAUUCUAAGGCGCUUGAGAGAACUCAGGAGAAGGAACUCGGCAAAUUGACACCGUAACUUCGGAAGAAGGUGUGCCUUUAGUAGGUGAACCUGUACAAGGGGAGCCCAAUGAGGUUGCAAAAAAUCGGUGGCUGCGACUGUUUAAUAAAAACACAGCACUCUGCAAACACGAAAGUGGACGUAUAGGGUGUGACGCCUGCCCGGUGCUGGAAGAUUAAAUGAUGGGGUGCAAGCUCUUGAUUGAAGUCCCAGUAAACGGCGGCCGUAACAAUAACGGUCCUAAGGUAGCGAAAUUCCUUGUCGGGUAAGUUCCGACCUGCACGAAUGGCGUAACGAUGGCCACACUGUCUCCUCCUGAGACUCAGCGAAGUUGAAAUGUUUGUGAUGAUGCAAUCUCCCCGCGGAAAGACGGAAAGACCCCAUGAACCUUUACUGUAGCUUUGUAUUGGACUUUGAACAGAUCUGUGUAGGAUAGGUGGGAGGCUUUGAAGUGUGGUCGCUAGAUCGCAUGGAGCCAACGUUGAAAUACCACCCUGGUGUGUUUGAGGUUCUAACCUAGGCCCGUAAUCCGGGUCGGGGACAGUGCAUGGUAGGCAGUUUGACUGGGGCGGUCUCCUCCCAAAGCGUAACGGAGGAGUUCGAAGGUACGCUAGGUACGGUCGGACAUCGUGCUCAACUGCGAGACUGACAAGUCGAGCAGAUGCGAAAGCAGGACAUAGUGAUCCGGUGGUUCUGUAUGGAAGGGCCAUCGCUCAACGGAUAAAAGGUACUCUGGGGAUAACAGGCUGAUACCGCCCAAGAGUUCAUAUCGACGGCGGUGUUUGGCACCUCGAUGUCGGCUCAUCUCAUCCUGGGGCUGUAGCCGGUCCCAAGGGUAUGGCUGUUCGCCAUUUAAAGAGGUACGUGAGCUGGGUUUAAAACGUCGUGAGACAGUUUGGUCCCUAUCUUCCGUGGGCGCUGCAGAUUUGAGGAAGCCUGCUCCUAGUACGAGAGGACCGGAGUGGACACACCUCUGGUGUAUCGGUUGUCACGCCAGUGGCAUUGCCGAGUAGCUAUGUGUGGAAGAGAUAACCGCUGAAAGCAUCUAAGCGGGAAACUCGUUUCAAGAUGAGAUCUGCCGGGGCCUUGAGCCCCCUAAAGAGUCGUUCAAGACCAGGACGUUGAUAGGUCGGGUGUGGAAGCGCAGUAAUGCGUUAAGCUAACCGAUACUAAUUGCUCGUGCGGCUUGACCU
rnacentral:rRNA from 1 species